rnacentral:rRNA from 1 species
GUCGGGUAAGUUCCGACCUGCACGAAUGGCGUAAUCAUGGCCACGCUGUCUCCACCCAGGACUCAGUGAAAUUGAAAUCGCAGUGAAGAUGCUGUGUACCCGCACCUAGACGGAAAGACCCCGUGAACCUUUACUACAGCUUGGCACUGAACAUUGAACCUACAUGUGUAGGAUAGGUGGGAGGCUUCGAAGCAGCGUCGCUAGAUGUUGUGGAGCCGUCCUUGAAAUACCACCCUUGUACGUUUGAUGUUCUAACAUUGGCCCCUAAGCGGGGUUGUGGACAGUGUCUGGUGGCUAGUUUGACUGGG